CCUACNGGUUGCAGCAGUGGGGAAUAUUGCACAAUGGGCGCAAGCCUGAUGCAGCCAUGCCGCGUGUAUGAAGAAGGCCUUAGGGUUGUAAAGUACUUUCAGUUGGGANGAAGGCGUUGAUGCUANUAUCAUCAACGAUUGACGUUACCAACAGAAGAAGCACCGGCUAACUCCGUGCCAGCAGCCGCGGUAAUACGGAGGGUGCAAGCGUUAAUCGGAGUUACUGGGCGUAAAGCGCACGCAGGCGGUUGAUUAAGUUAGAUGUGGAAUCCCCGGGCUUAACCUGGGAAUGGCAUCUAAGACUGGUCAGCUAGAGUCUUGUAGAGGGGGGUAGAAUUCCAUGUGUAGCGGUGAAAUGCGUAGAGAUGUGGAGGAAUGCCGGUGGCGAAGGCGGCCCCCUGGACAAAGACUGACGCUCAGGUGCGAAAGCGUGGGGAGCAAACAGGAUUAGAUACCCGAGUAGUC
rnacentral:rRNA from 1 species